GAGGGUAUACCUCAGUGGUAGAGUGUGUGCUUAGCAUGCACAAGGUCCAGGGUUCAAUUCCCAGUACCUCCA
rnacentral:tRNA from 1 species